rnacentral:lncRNA from 1 species
UUUUUUGUCUAAAGGCAUCCCUGUGCUGCGUUUUCUCACCAACAUUUAGCUCAGCUACUCUGAUACGUUCUCGGAGUUUUUCAUCAUCAAAUCUAGGCAUCCUUAUCAGGAAGUUAAAUCCCUUUGCUGCACUCGCAUUCGUAUCCCUUACAGCCACAGCGUCCACAGAGGAACACUCAGCCGAAGUGGUCAACACAUCAUUAGUACUUGAAAUUUCAGCAUCCACAUUCAUAUCCCUUACAGCCACAACGUCCACAGAGGAACACUCAGCCGAAGUGGUCAACACAUCAUUAGUACUUGAAAUUUCAGCAUCCCUACUUUGUUCACACAUUAGUUUGUCAUCAUUACUCCUGUCU